UCGUAACAAGGUUUCCGUAGGUGAACCUGCGGAAGGAUCAUUAUCGUGUGUGAUGGCUUCGGCCAUUUUCCACGCCCCUUGUUUCAACCUCCGGUUUCUUUGGCGAGAACUUGAUCACCCUCGUCAGAAUCACUCUGGGAAUGUGGUAUCGUCUGAGUCUUUGAUUAAAUCAGCUCAAAACUUUCAACAACGGAUCUCUUGGUUCCAGCAUCGAUGAAGAACGCAGCGAAAUGCGAUAAGUAAUGUGAAUUGCAGAAUUCCGUGAAUCAUCGAGUUUUUGAACGCACAUUGCACUCCUUGGUAUUCCGAGGAGUACGCCUGUUCGAGCGUCAUUUCACUAUCAAGCCCGCGGCUUGGAGUUGGGCCUGGCUGCGGCCAUGCCUUAAUGGAAUGGGCGAUUGACCAUAGUGAUGACUCACUCGCGUCAAUCCGUAUCUUUCUGACUCUGGUUGACCUCGGAUCAGGCGGGGAUACCCGCUGAACUUA
rnacentral:rRNA from 1 species